CCUACGGGAGGCAGCAGUGGGGAAUUUUGGACAAUGGGCGAAAGCCUGAUCCAGCAAUGCCGCGUGAGUGAAGAAGGCCUUCGGGUUGUAAAGCUCUUUUGUCAGGGAAGAAACGGUGCGGGCUAAUAUCCUGCACUAAUGACGGUACCUGAAGAAUAAGCACCGGCUAACUACGUGCCAGCAGCCGCGGUAAUACGUAGGGUGCAAGCGUUAAUCGGAAUUACUGGGCGUAAAGCGUGCGCAGGCGGUUUUGUAAGUCUGUCGUGAAAUCCCCGGGCUCAACCUGGGAAUUGCGAUGGAGACUGCAAGGCUAGAAUCUGGCAGAGGGGGGUAGAAUUCCACGUGUAGCAGUGAAAUGCGUAGAGAUGUGGAGGAACACCGAGGGCGAAGGCAGCCCCCUGGGUCAAGAUUGACGCUCAUGCACGAAAGCGUGGGGAGCAAACAGGAUUAGAUACCCUGGUAGUCCACGCCCUAAACGAUGUCUACUAGUUGUCGGGUUUUAAUUAACUUGGUAACGCAGCUAACGCGUGAAGUAGACCGCCUGGGGAUACGGUCGCAGAUUAAACCUUAAUGAAUUGACGG
rnacentral:rRNA from 1 species